AGAGAAGGACCUGGAGAUCUCGCGGCCUGAAGGUAAAGGACCACCAGUUUCUUGUUUGAUGCCCAAAACAAACACACAGGAAGAAAAUCCAGCUGUUUCCAGAGCAAUGGAAUCAGAAGUCUGGUGUUGGAAAAGCUCCAGGCGUCACGAGAUUUGUAGCCCAGGCCUAAAUGUCCUGUGCUUGCAUUUUGACCUUUGCCUGGCACCCAUGGCUGGCCUGCCUUCUCUGCCCCAACUCCGAGUCCUUCUGACGGGUGUCCUUAUGUUUGGAUCUAUGCUGGAAUUGGUUCUAAGACAACAUAAACAGAGCAUGACUCAUGGAUUCGAAGAAGUGUAAGGGUGAAGAACAUGAAGUCAUCAAGGUUAGAAGAAGCGAUGGCCGCUAAACUCCAGACUUCACGCACGUUCAAGGAGAGAUGAUUCCAUUCAUUUUAUAAGGUUCGCCAGAAGUGAGGUUGUCGAGUUCUUGAAAAUACAGAGGUCAAACUGGUUAGGUGUCUAUGUUUCCCCAACAGUACUUUCCUCUGGGGUGGGUAUCACCUGUAGGGUAGUUGUCCUGAUGAAAAGGCCUUAUUGGGCACCAAAAGCUCUGACUGGCAUGCUGGUGGAAGACCCUCAGUAGUAUAGAGUCAGCCAGCCCAGGCCCCUCUGGCAUACCAGGUUUCCAUCUUAAGACUCUUUGGGUCAGCCUCCUGAUUCUACUGGCAGCAACUGCAGACCUAUAUCUUGGGAACAUCGGAGAUAAAGUUCAAGGAUGCUUUGUGCUGUGAAAAUAGAAUGACUACUAACUGGUACCGGGCAAGCAGCCCUGUUGCCUGAUUUUUAUGUACAUGACUCUUAGUGACUUGGCUAUAAAAACUGGACAAAAUAAAGUGAACUGAAUUUAACUGGC
rnacentral:lncRNA from 1 species